rnacentral:rRNA from 1 species
UACGUAGGGUGCGAGCGUUAAUCGGAAUUACUGGGCGUAAAGCGUGCGCAGGCGGUUGUGCAAGACAGAUGUGAAAUCCCCGGGCUUAACCUGGGAACUGCAUUUGUGACUGCACAGCUGGAGUGCGGCAGAGGGGGAUGGAAUUCCGCGUGUAGCAGUGAAAUGCGUAGAUAUGCGGAGGAACACCGAUGGCGAAGGCAAUCCCUGGGCCUGCACUGACGCUCAUGCACGAAAGCGUGGGGAGCAAACAGG